UGCUGAGAGAGAUGACUUUCAGCUUAGCAGGACACCUCCUUGGUUAACUUUUUGUGUGUGUUUUGUAAAACUACAGAUUAAGAUGAAAGAGGAAAAGGAGAGAGAGGAAAAAGAAAAGGAUGAGAAGGAUCGUAAUCAGUGGAUGACAGAAGACAGCAUCUACCAGGAAAUGGAAAAAGCCAAGAAACAAUGUCAUGCAAACAUGGAAGUACAGAAAAUUCAGAUCCAGCAAAUGGCUGAAAAGCAGGCAAAAAAACAGCAGGAAAAGCAAGCAGACUUGGAUUACGAUGCUCAGAAACUGCUUUUCAUCAGGAUCAAGCAUUUUGGAGAUAAAGACAAAAUAUAUUUGACUACUAUCUAAGUAUCUACAAAGGAAAAGGAACCUUGCCAUUCUCUCCUUCCAAGUUCUAUAUGCCUGCAAAACCUAUCAGUGCCCAAUAGCUGAAGCUAACUCUGGAGCAAGUUACAAAACAUGCUGUUUGCCAAAACCUGCCUAUACUCAACUUCAGCUCAAGAAACAAGUGCCAUAGUUCACAACUGUACUUUAACUAGUCUAAUUUUAUUAUGGAACAAAGCAGUAGAUUCACUUUUUACGAAGUCAAGAGGUAACAACCACAGGUAAACUAUCAGUACUGUACUCCUAGAGUAUUGCUGGGCCUCCAGCCUUAAUUCAAACCUUAUGUUUUGGUCUAAAAAAAAAAAAGUCUUACUGAGCAAACAAUAAAAUUGAGUAAUCUGUUUAAAACA
rnacentral:lncRNA from 1 species